ACCUAGGUAGCCUAGUGGAGAGACAUGGCAUCUGCCCGGUAAGCGGAACACUGUGGGUUCGAUUCCCAUCCCUGGACA
rnacentral:tRNA from 1 species